GUGGCGAUAUGGGAGGGCGCAGGAAUUCCGCCUCACACGCGGAAGGUCGCUGGUUCGAUCCCAGCUGGGACCA
rnacentral:tRNA from 1 species